GACGAACGCUGGCGGCGUGCUUAACACAUGCAAGUCGAACGGAAAGGCCCUGCUUUUGUGGGGUGCUCGAGUGGCGAACGGGUGAGUAACACGUGAGUAACCUGCCCUUGACUUUGGGAUAACUUCAGGAAACUGGGGCUAAUACCGGAUAGGAGCUCCUGCCGCAUGGUGGGGGUUGGAAAGUUUCGGCGGUUGGGGAUGGACUCGCGGCUUAUCAGCUUGUUGGUGGGGUAGUGGCUUACCAAGGCUUUGACGGGUAGCCGGCCUGAGAGGGUGACCGGCCACAUUGGGACUGAGAUACGGCCCAGACUCCUACGGGAGGCAACAGUGGGGAAUAUUGCACAAUGGGCGGAAGCCUGAUGCAGCAACGCCGCGUGCGGGAUGACGGCCUUCGGGUUGUAAACCGCUUUCGCCUGUGACGAAGCGUGAGUGACGGUAAUGGGUAAAGAAGCACCGGCUAACUACGU
rnacentral:rRNA from 1 species